rnacentral:rRNA from 1 species
AGCGAACGCUGGCGGCAGGCUUAACACAUGCAAGUCGAACGCAUCCUUCGGGGUGAGUGGCAGACGGGUGAGUAACGCGUGGGAACAUGCCCUUUGGUUCGGAAUAACUCAGGGAAACUUGAGCUAAUACCGGAUAAGCACUUUUGGGGAAAGAUUUAUCGCCGAAGGAUUGGCCCGCGUCCGAUUAGCUAGUUGGUGAGGUAAUGGCUCACCAAGGCGACGAUCGGUAGCUGGUCUGAGAGGAUGAUCAGCCACGCUGGGACUGAGACACGGCCCAGACUCCUACGGGAGGCAGCAGUGGGGAAUAUUGGACAAUGGGGGCAACCCUGAUCCAGCCAUGCCGCGUGAGUGAUGAAGGCCCUAGGGUUGUAAAGCUCUUUCGGCGGGGACGAUAAUGACGGUACCCGCAGAAGAAGCCCCGGCUAACUUCGUGCCAGCCGCCGCCGUAA